rnacentral:lncRNA from 13 species
UAUUUGAUUCAUUAAUCAUAUGUUUAAUCCAAAAGUUUUGGAAAAUGCUGAUGGAUAAAACAUUCUACAUUUCAAUACAUGUAUACCAUCAAAUCUAAAAGAAAAUGUAAUCGUUACAGUUACUGAAAUAAAGAACAAAACUUAUAAUCCGUAGUAAUAUUUGGUUGAUUCAAAUGCAGUACUAGAAAAUAUAAAAUACCUUAACAAUUUAUGUUUUAGUGACAUAUUUUAAAGAAAUUAUACGACAACAGCAUCCCCUUAAAGCAGAAAUUUGGCAACAAAGUGACAAUUUAAGAAUUAUUAAAAAUGCAGUUGAGAAUCCGAAUUAUGCACAUUUUAAUAAUGCAGACGAUGUCAGGAAGCAAUCCAUUUUUUAUUCCUGCAAUAUCCCUAUGGAUAAUGAAAGGCAAUUAGAGCAAAUGGAAGGCUUUUUGAAAACGGAUGAAAAUUUUAAUACAUCGAUUUUAGAAGCUUCAAAAAUUGGUGGGAACAAUGCAUACGAGUUCAUAAAACGCAACUUGAGCCAAAUUUUCACCAAUAAACUAGCUUCUGAAUAUAGUUGGGAAAAAAAAAUAAACGUGUAUUCCGAUCAUUAAAGCUAUCACAGCUAUUAAUCGCCGCAGGCGAAAUAGUCAACGCUAUGUUCACAAAAAAGGAUAUCGAAGAGGCAAUACAGAAAUGGCUCAAGAGGGUAAAAGAAAGGCUUAAUGCGGAACAAAAUAAAUUAAACGUUCAAAGGCAACUGGAAGAUCAAUGAGAUUCUUUUAAGCCUCAGUUUCAGUUUUUAUUUGGUUUACUUAUAU